rnacentral:rRNA from 1 species
AUUGAACGCUGGCGGCAGGCCUAACACAUGCAAGUCGAGCGGUAGAGCGAAGCUUGCUUCUCUUGAGAGCGGCGGACGGGUGAGUAAUGCCUAGGAAUCUGCCUGGUAGUGGGGGAUAACGUUCGGAAACGGACGCUAAUACUGCAUACGUCCUACGGGAGAAACCAGGGGACCUUCGGGCCUUGCGCUAUCAGAUGAGCCUAGGUGGGAGUAGCUAGUUGGUGGGGUAAUGGCUCACCAAGGCGACGAUCCGUAACUGGUCUGAGAGGAUGAUCAGUCACACUGGAACUGAGACACGGUCCAGACUCCUACGGGAGGCAGCAGUGGGGAAUAUUGGACAAUGGGCGAAAGCCUGAUCCAGCCAUGCCGAGUGUGUGAAGAAGGUCUUCGGAUUGUAAAGCACUUUAAGUUGGGAGGAAGGGCAGUAAAUUAAUACGUUGCUGUUUUGACGUUACCGACAGAAUAAGCACCGGCUAACUCUGUG